rnacentral:rRNA from 1 species
UGAGUAACGCGUGAGCAACCUGCCUUUAUCAGGGGGAUAACGCAUCGAAAGAUGUGCUAAUACCGCGUAAGACCACAGCUUCACAUGGAGCGGGGGUCAAAGGAGCAAUCCGGAUAAAGAUGGGCUCGCGUCCGAUUAGCUAGUUGGUGAGAUAACAGCCCACCAAGGCGACGAUCGGUAGCCGACCUGAGAGGGUGAUCGGCCACAUUGGAACUGAGAGACGGUCCAGACUCCUACGGGAGGCAGCAGUGGGGAAUAUUGGGCAAUGGGCGAAAGCCUGACCCAGCAACGCCGCGUGAGGGAAGAAGGGUUUCGGCUCG